AUGAUAGAACCAAAACACUAUGGCUUAUGUAGUGAGUAUAUAUAACUGUAUAAUGAU
rnacentral:guide_RNA from 1 species